rnacentral:lncRNA from 1 species
CCUUCUACACCAAAAGACCUGAUUUGGCUAUUAUGCACCUUGUACACCAAAAGCCCUUAUUUGUUUGGGGUUCUUGAGCUACCUUCUACACCAAAAGCCCUGAUUUGGUUACUUGGCAUCAAAUGCAGCUUUUACACCAAAGCCCUGAUUUGGCUAUUUGGAGUUAAAUGCAGCUUCUACACCAAAAGCCCUGAUUUGUUUGGGGUUCUUGAGCCAUAUUGAUUUGGCUAUUUGGAGCUUCUGAGUUUGUUGGUGAUCUUCCUCUUUUUUUAGGAGCAAUGAGAGAGAUGGAAGAAGAAAAUGAGUGAGGAAAGAAGAGAGAGAAAGCUUGGAGAGGGAAGAAGAGAGAAAGAGAGGAUCAGGGGAGAUGAUGGGGAGAGGAAGAUAGACGAUAGAGGUAACAUGAGGAUAAGACGAGAGGAUCAGGGGAGAUGAUGGGGAGAGGAAGAUAGACGAGAGAGGAACAUGAGGAUAAGACGAGAGGAUCAGGGGAGAUGAUGGGGAGAGGAAGAUAGACGAGAGAGGAACAUGAGGAUAAGACGAGAGGAGGAGAGUGAGGGGAGUGAAGGAAGAAGAAAGCUUGCUGGUAGAGAGAGAGAGGUGGGAGAGGAUGAGAGAGGGUC